UCCGCCUUGGAGGCGGCAGUCUCCCCUGAAAAUACAACAGAGGAUGAGGGUUGCGCUCGUUCGCUGACUUAACAGUACACCUCAAGGCACGAGCUGACGACGACCGUGCAACGCCUGUGUGUAGGUUCCUUGCGGCACUCUCGAAUUUCUUCGAGAUUCCUACCAUGUCAAGUCUGGGUGAGGUGCUUCGCUUAUCAUCGAAUUAAACCCCAUGCUCCACCGCUUGUGUGGGUCCCCGUCUAUUCCUUUGAGUUUUAGUCUUGCGACCGUACUUCCCAGGCGGCGAGCUUACCGCGUUAGCUUGAGGCACGGGAACUGAUUGAAGUUCCCACACCGGGCUCGCAUCGUUUAGGGCGUGGACUA
rnacentral:misc_RNA from 1 species